AGCAACACUAAGCACUAAACUGCCUAUCAUAUCUCUUUGUAAUGGGGCUCCUCAUUCUUCCUCAUUGACCUGUGACACCUUGCCCUUACUACCACUGCCUCCUCCUGGUCUACUAUGUUUGACACUGCACAUUCACAAGAACAGAGCAAGAAAGAAGAAUGUCGACAACAAUCAAUUGAUGUAUACUAGUAAGUUUCCAUUGCUACUCUUAACGUUACUGAGAUUUGUCUAGCUAGCUAGCGAGCUACAUUGCUAGCUAGAAACAAAUAAUAGAUUACAGUGGCUGGACAAAUAGUUAACGUUAAUUAGUUAGCUAGCUAUGGGUGACAAAUAUAGAGGCCUUGCAGUUGACGUAUGACGCCUCCUGGUGGCCAUGUUGCAUUAAUUCUUCCGACAAAUACAGCCGUGUGGAUACCCCAAACUACAUGAUAACAGCAAAGAUGUUUUAAUUCUAUCUGUGGUAACAGUGCCUAAAACGAGUUGACUCAUCACCACGGUCAUUUUCCGUGGAGUAUUUGCCUGCUCUAACAAGGCAGGGAAGACAACGGGAAAAAAUAUGUUUACAGAUUCCCCGCAAUCAUGAAACACCAUAGAUGAUAUGGGAAGACUCAAGAACUGUCAGAAAAGAAGAAGAAACAAGUUUGCCAGUCAAGACCUGAACCCAGACAGCUGUCAGUACAGGGUCUGCUACGAUCAUUUAAUCACUGGUUCACCAGCUGACCUAUCAUGACAACCAUGUCGACUGGAAUCCCACUGUGAAAAUGAGCAAUGCUGCAGAAGCAUCAGCUUCUACUACUACUACUUCGUCCUUUUCCAGAAAUGAAAGGAGUCAUCCCUCAAUUUUACAAGAUGGUUGUCAUAUGCUGUGCUUUGGACUAUCUGAAUGAUUAUGUUGUGCCAUUUGAGUAGAGCACCUUGUCGUCAUGACAAAAGUGCCCCCUUAAACCGUAUAUAUAAAAUGUAAUUUGGAACGACUAUUGUUUAUGAUAUGGUAAACAUACUGUACCUUAAUAAAUUGGCUAUAUUGUUGUAUGGGUGAAAUUAAAAGUAUUUUGUAAUCUCUGCUUUGCCUAGCCCCAUUGAAUAAAAAGUAGUUCUUAUAGCCCAA